rnacentral:piRNA from 7 species
CUGGACUCUGAAUCCAGCGAUCCGA